UUUAUGUUCAUGAGUAAUGUCUCAGGAAUGAGAUGCCAGGAUUCUUGUCUGGGUGCCCAACAUCCUUAAGUGGAAAGUCUAGUUUUUUGGCCUUUAACUGCUGUCUGCAAAGCUGGAUGGCUCCCAGCUGGCUGGGAAUCAGUUCUUUUCAAAUCUAUUAGACACAGAACAAGUUUCUCUAUUUUUUACCUUCCUUUUUCUAACAGGCCUAUUGAAAAUGGAAACCAAAGGAUGGCUUUGAGAAUAACAAGAAGAGCAACUGUCAAAGAUCAAGAAAAGCACUGUCAGCUGCUUUUUCACACUUCUCUUUUGGGGGCCCAAUCUUACAAGCGCUACUCAGACCAGCUCAUGGUUAAUGGAAGACAUAGGAGUAAAAUAUGACUUUUGUACUGGCUCUGAAGAGACGCUGGAAUUGUGGUCUUGCUGUGCCAUCUUUUCCAGGCAACAGUGAAGACAGAGCGAGGAUGGAGACAAAGUGUGCAUGUCACUUCCUUUGGCACAGGAAAUGGAGAAAUAAAAAACACAGAAUGUGGCGGACACAGGAGCAAAUGUAAAUAUUUACUAAUCAAUGACAAGCCAUUCCUCCAAUUGACUAGCGGGAAUAAAGCCAACCUCUGUUCCUAUUCUUUAAGAAAACUACUGAUGCUGUACCUGGAUUAAUGUAUUCUUGCCUCCCCCAUCCCUCCCUCAGCAUGGUAGCGGUAGUAAAAAUCUCACAUACUACAGAGCUUACUACCUUUACAGCCCUCUCCCUCCCAAACCUUCUCAAUUUUAAGAGAGGAAAAACAAGUUUGCGUGUGUGUACGCGUGAGAGGAAGACAGAAGAAUGACACUACACCACAGGCAGGCAUUCUACAAGUACAUCUCGAGAGAUUACAGGUGCGUUUUUCAUGAAGAUGAGUGGCAGAGCGACAUAAUCACACAGGCGUCAGGACCCCUGUUGACUGCAGCCUGGUAGCCUCUGGGUGCCAAUGUGUUAAUUGGUCAAUUUGAAUUCUUGUCUUCUAGCUGCCUGACUAGCUGCCUUGCCCUGGGAGGAUGUUGUUGUAACAUAUUAAAAGGUAUUAAAGGGAUUCGUCAUCUCAUCUCCAUGCUCUUAAUAUUACAUUUCCUACCUGUGAAAUGCUGUAGUUUCUAAUACAGUUAACAAUUUUUUUUAUUGAGCACUGCAUCUUCAUCCUGGAAAAUUACAUUCACUCAAUUUAAGUCAACAUCAUCACAGCGGCCAUUAAAAAAAAAAAAAAAAAUCAGAAACAAAAUCAAAACAAAAUUUGCGGUUAUUAAAAGGGCAAAAGUUGACUCAAUAAAAUGUGUUUCCAAAUUCUAUGAAUUGUGAUCCAGGUACGUUUGUCUUGUAAUCAUGUAAGGAAUGAAUCGGUAUGGAGCAUAAUAAAGUGUUUACAUCAGU